GGAGGGUGCGAGCGUUAAUCGGAAUUACUGGGCGUAAAGCGUGCGUAGGUGGUUCGUUAAGUCCGCUGUGAAAGCCCCGAGCUCAACUUGGGAAUUGCAGUGGAUACUGGCGAGCUGGAGUGCGUUAGAGGAAGGUGCAAUUCCCGGUGUAGCGGUGAAAUGCGUACAGAUCGGGAGGAACACCAGUGGCGAAGGCGGCCUUCUGGACCAGCACUGACACUCAAGCACGAAAGCGUGGGGAGCAAACAGGAUUAGAUACCCUGGUAGUCCACGCCCUAAACGAUGCGAACUGGAUGUUGGGCACACUACGGUGCUCAGUGUCGAAGCUAACGCGUUAAGUUCGCCGCCUGGGGAGUACGGUCGCAAGACUG
rnacentral:rRNA from 1 species